AAAUAAUGUCUAAUUUCACUGAACGGUAUUAGAUGGUAUGACGGGUUUAGAAUAUUAUAAUAUAU
rnacentral:sRNA from 1 species